rnacentral:rRNA from 1 species
GAUGAACGCUAGCGGCAGGCCUAACACAUGCAAGUCGAGGGUGACAGGAAAGCUUGCGUUUCGCUGACACCGGCGCACGGGUGCGUAACGCGUAUGCAACCUACCUCAUACUGGAGAAUAGCCCUUGGAAACGGGAGUUAAUACUCCAUGUAUCAUUCUUUCGCAUGUUAGAAUGAUUAAAGAAUUUCGGUAUGAGAUGGGCAUGCGUCCCAUUAGCUUGUUGGUGAGGUAACGGCUCACCAAGGCUACGAUGGGUAGGGGGCCUGAGAGGGUGGUCCCCCACACUGGUACUGAGACACGGACCAGACUCCUACGGGAGGCAGCAGUGAGGAAUAUUGGUCAAUGGAGGAAACUCUGAACCAGCCAUGCCGCGUGAAGGAUGACGGCCCUAUGGGUUGUAAACUUCUUUUUGAAUAGGAAGAAACUUAUCUACGUGUAGAUAACUGACGGCACUAUUAGAAUAAGGAUCGGCUAACUCCGUG